AACAUUCAACGCUGUCGGUGAGUUUGCAAGUGAGAAAAACCAUCGAGUGUUGAGUGUACC
rnacentral:pre_miRNA from 2 species